AGAUUGAACUGAAGAGUUUGAUCCUGGCUCAGAUUGAACGCUGGCGGCAUGCCUUACACAUGCAAGUCGAACGGCAGCACGGGGGGCAACCCCUGGUGGCGAGUGGCGAACGGGUGAGUAAUACAUCGGAACGUACCCAGUAGUGGGGGAUAACCUCUCGAAAGAGAGGCUAAUACCGCAUACGACCUACGGGUGAAAGCGGGGGACCGCAAGGCCUCGCGCUAUUGGAGCGGCCGAUGUCGGAUUAGCUAGUUGGCGGGGUAAAGGCCCACCAAGGCGACGAUCCGUAGCUGGUCUGAGAGGACGGCCAGCCACACUGGAACUGAGACACGGUCCAGACUCCUACGGGAGGCAGCAGUGGGGAAUUUUGGACAA
rnacentral:rRNA from 1 species